UCGGAAAAUUACGGCAAUAAUGGUAUAACAAAAUUUUAGUUGUUUAAACAGAGAAAAUAUUAUAAAAUGGUAUUGUCAGUAUGUUCCAUUGGUAUAAACUGAUUUACGAAAUCACGGCAUUUACAUGGAUAACGUAAAACAAAUCGGAAAUCGGUAAAUGUUUUUCGGUUUAUUACUUCUCAAGGCCGUAGCAAUCGGGAG
rnacentral:lncRNA from 1 species